GGGGGACAACAUUUCGAAAGGAAUGCUAAUACCGCAUACGUCCUACGGGAGAAAGCAGGGGACCUUCGGGCCUUGCGCUAAUAGAUGAGCCUAAGUCGGAUUAGCUAGUUGGUGGGGUAAAGGCCUACCAAGGCGACGAUCUGUAGCGGGUCUGAGAGGAUGAUCCGCCACACUGGGACUGAGACACGGCCCAGACUCCUACGGGAGGCAGCAGUGGGGAAUAUUGGACAAUGGGGGCAACCCUGAUCCAGCCAUGCCGCGUGUGUGAAGAAGGCCUUUUGGUUGUAAAGCACUUUAAGCGAGGAGGAGGCUACUUAGAUUAAUACUCUGAGAUAGUGGACGUUACUCGCAGAAUAAGCACCGGCUAACUCUGUGCCAGCAGCCGCGGUAAUACAGAGGGUGCAAGCGUUAAUCGGAUUUACUGGGCGUAAAGCGUGCGUAGGUGGCCAAUUAAGUCAAAUGUGAAAUCCCCGAGCUUAACUUGGGAAUUGCAUUCGAUACUGGUUGGCUAGAGUAUGGGAGAGGAUGGUAGAAUUCCAGGUGUAGCGGUGAAAUGCGUAGAGAUCUGGAGGAAUACCGAUGGCGAAGGCAGCCAUCUGGCCUAAUACUGACACUGAGGUACGAAAGCAUGGGGAAGCAAACAGGAUUAGAUACCCUGGUAGUCCAUGCCGUAAACAAUGUCUACUAGCCGUUGGGGGCCUUU
rnacentral:rRNA from 1 species